rnacentral:rRNA from 1 species
GAUGAACGCUGGCGGCGUGCCUAAUACAUGCAAGUCGAGCGAACAGACGAGGAGCUUGCUCCUCUGACGUUAGCGGCGGACGGGUGAGUAACACGUGGAUAACCUACCUAUAAGACUGGGAUAACUUCGGGAAACCGGCGCUAAUACCGGAUAAUAUAUUGAACCGCAUGGUUCAAUAGUGAAAGACGGUUUUGCUGUCACUUAUAGAUGGAUCCGCGCCGCAUUAGCUAGUUGGUAAGGUAACGGCUUACCAAGGCAACGAUGCGUAGCCGACCUGAGAGGGUGAUCGGCCACACUGGAACUGAGACACGGUCCAGACUCCUACGGGAGGCAGCAGUAGGGAAUCUUCCGCAAUGGGCGAAAGCCUGACGGAGCAACGCCGCGUGAGUGAUGAAGGUCUUCGGAUCGCAAAACUCUGUUAUUAGGGAAGAACAAAUGUGUAAGUAACUAUGCACGUCUUGACGGUACCUAAUCAGAAAGCCACGGCUAACUACGUG